GUGGCCUGCCUGUUUGAAGCAAACCUUU
rnacentral:piRNA from 1 species